AAGAACUGGGAGUAACUUCUGGAAACCGGAGCUAAUACCGGAUAAUAUUUUGAACCGCAUGGUUCAAAAGUGAAAGACGGUCUUGCUGUCACUUAUAGAUGGAUCCGCGCCGCAUUAGCUAGUUGGUAAGGUAACGGCUUACCAAGGCAACGAUGCAUAGCCGACCUGAGAGGGUGAUCGGCCACACUGGAACUGAGACACGGUCCAG
rnacentral:rRNA from 1 species